rnacentral:tRNA from 1 species
GCCCUCGUAGCCCAACAGCAGAGGCACCCGCCCAGUGCGCGGCCGCAGUCCGGGUGCGAAUCCCGGCGAGGGCACCA